CAGCACCUCAAGUGGUCAGGAUGAUUAUUGGGCCUAAGCAUCCGUAGCCGGUUCUACAAGUCUUCCGUUAAAUCCACCUGCUUAACAGAUGGGCCGCGGAGGAUACUAUAAGACUAGGAGGCAGGAGAGGCAAGCGGUACUCAGUGGGUAGGGGUAAAAUCCGUUGAUCCAUUGAAGACCACCAGUGGCGAAGGCGGCUUGCCAGAAUGCGCUCGACGGUGAGGGAUGAAAGCUGGGGGAGCAAACCGGAUUAGAUACCCGAGUAGUCC
rnacentral:rRNA from 1 species